AAAGUGGAAGACAUCUUGCAGGGUAAAGACCUUAAUUUGACAUUCCAUGGGAUUGGAGAAUUUAAUAACAAAGUGCUAUAUGUGAAAAUGUUGGAGGAAGACCAGGAAAUGCUUAACAGAAUUGCAGAAGCUGUGGAAGAAUGCUUUAUUGAAAUGAAUCUAGACAUUUCAGGAAGUAAGGACUUCAAACCACAUCUAACUUUCCUGAAGCUCUCUAAAGCAUCAAGGUUGCGAAGAAGGAGCACACCUCAGAUGACAGAAGAAAUAGUUACUAAGAAUAUUU